CUAAGGCCAACGGGAGAAGGGUUGUUAAGGAACUCGGCAAAUUGACCCCGUAACUUCGGGAGAAGGGGUGCUCCAGAGAUGGAGCCGCAGAGAAUCGGCCCAAGCAACUGUUUACCAAAAACACAGGUUUGUGCUAAAUCGAAAGAUGACGUAUACGAGCUGACGCCUGCCCGGUGCUGGAAGGUUAAGAGGAGAUGUGCAAGCAUUGAAUCGAAGCCCCAGUGAACGGCGGCCGUAACUAUAACGGUCCUAAGGUAGCGAAAUUCCUUGUCAGGUAAGUUCUGACCCGCAUGAAAGGCGUAAUGAUUUGGGCACUGUCUCAACAGCCCGCCCGGCGAAAUUGUAGUACCGGUGAAGAUGCCGGUUACCCGCGACAAGACGGAAAGACCCCAUGGAGCUUUACUGUAGCCUAAUAUUGGGUUUCGAUGUUGCAUGCACAGGAUAGAUGGGACACUGGGAAACAGGAGCUUUGGCUUCUGCGGAGUGGCCGUUGGGAUACCAUCCUUGCGAUAUUGGAAUUCUAACCUGCGGCUCUGAAUCGAGUCGGGGGACAUUGUUAGGUGGGCAGUUUGACUGGGGCGGUCGCCUCCUAAAGAGUAACGGAGGCGUUCAAAGGUUCGCUCAGCUUGAACGGAAAUCAAGCAAAAGAGUGCAAACGCAGAAGCGAGCCUAACUGCGAGACUGACGGGUCGAGCAGUAACGAAAGUUGGAGUUAGUGAUCCGGUGGUAUGUGAGUGGAAAUGCCAUCGCUCAACGGAUAAAAGUUACCCUGGGGAUAACAGGCUGAUCUCCCCCAAGAGUCCACAUCGACGGGGAGGUUUGGCACCUCGAUGUCGGCUCAUCGCAUCCUGGGGCUGUAUUCGGUCCCAAGGGUUUGGCUGUUCGCCAAUUAAAGCGGUACGCGAGCUGGGUUCAGAACGUCGUGAGACAGUUCGGUCCCUAUCUGUCGUGGGCGCAGGAUAUUUGAUGGGAGCUGUCCCUAGUACGAGAGGACCGGGACGGACGUACCUCUGGCGCACCAGUUGUUCCGCCAGGAGCAUAGCUGGGCAACUACGUACGGAUCGGAUAAACGCUGAAAGCAUCUAAGCGUGAAGCCGACCCAAAGAUAAGAUAUCCCAUUGUUUUAAACAAGUAAGACCCCUUGAAGACUACAAGGUCGAUAGGCACGAUGUGUAAGUGGAGCGAUCCAUUCAGCAAGCGUGUACUAAUAGGUCGAGGGCUUGACCAC
rnacentral:rRNA from 1 species